rnacentral:snRNA from 2 species
UUAUUUUGAUUAAUGAGUAGCAAAAAUGUGCACACAAAUCGAGAAGAGUAGUAUGACCCUUGUGCAAAGAAUGACACACACAAAUUGAGAAAUGGUCCAAAUUUGU